rnacentral:rRNA from 1 species
UACGUAGGGUGCGAGCGUUGUCCGGAAUUAUUGGGCGUAAAGAGCUUGCUAGAGCGGUCUGUCGCGUCUGCUGUGAAAAUCCAGGGCUCAACCCUGGACCUGCAGUGGGUACGGGCAGACUAGAGUGCGGUAGGGGAGAUCGGAAUUCCUGGUGUAGCGGUGAAAUGCGCAGAUAUCGGGAGGAACACCUGUGGCGAAGGCGGCUUUCUGGGCCUUACCUGACGCUGAGACGCGAAAGCGUGGGGAGCGAACCGG